AAAAAGACAAAUCCUUGUUUACGUGUCCAACGUUUGACCGUCCGUUUUAUUUGAAAAAAAUAUAAAAAAAAUUAAAAAGAUAAGUCAUGCAUAAAGUAUUAAUCAUAUUUUAUCAUCUAACAAUAAUGAAAAUACUCAUUAUAAACAAAUUUUAUAUAAGACGGACAGUCAAACGUUAGCACGGAAAUCUAAGGUUUGUCUUUUU
rfam:Oryza glaberrima chromosome 8 Oglab08_0178_24, whole genome shotgun sequence.